GACGAACGCUGGCGGCGUGCUUAACACAUGCAAGUCGAACGGAAAGGCCCUUCGGGGUCCUCGAGUGGCGAACGGGUGAGUAACACGUGGGUGAUCUGCCCUGCACUUUGGGAUAAGCCUGGGAAACUGGGUCUAAUACCGAAUAGGACCACGCGCUUCAUGGUGUGUGGUGGAAAGCUUUUGCGGUGUGGGAUGGGCCCGCGGCCUAUCAGCUUGUUGGUGGGGUAAUGGCCUACCAAGGCGACGACGGGUAGCCGGCCUGAGAGGGAGACCGGCCACACUGGGACAGGGAUGCGGCCCAGACUCCUUCGGGAGGCAGCAGUGGGGAAUAGUGCAAAAUGGGCGGAAGCCUGAUGCAGCGACGCCGCGUUGGGGAUGACGGCCUUCGGGUUGUAAACCUCUUUCACCAGGGACGAAGCGUAAGUGACGUUACCUGGAGAAGAAGCACCGGCCAACUACGUG
rnacentral:rRNA from 1 species